UGACGUUAGCUCCCUCUCAGACGGAAAUGACGUUGCGCCCCUCCCGCUUCACCUGACGGGAGUUGUAGUGCCGCUCCUGUGCUCUAGCCGUGGUUUGUCCUGCAGGCUGCGCUGUGACGCGGGGAGUGACAAGGAGCAGUAGGUGCCAGUGGCUGGGAGGAGCAGAGCACCGAGCUGUGGCUGGGCAAGCUGGGUCAUGGGUGACUUCACCUCCAUGAGCAGCUACCUGAAGUGACUGGUAUCUUCUAAUCUCACAGAAAAUCUCACCUGAGUCCUGGUUAGCAGAUGGCUAAAGAUCAGGUCCAUAUUCAUGGAGAGAAGUACAGUGUGGGGCUGUUUGGCAAACAUCAUACCCUCAGCAACAGUAUACUCUGUGACCUUGGACAUUAGUAUGUCUUUACUCCAAAACCCCAGUGUUUGCCCGAAGAAUGACGUAGUUUCUCCAUUUGUUUGGCUCACAGGGUGACACCUUUAGCCUUCACAUGGACACGUUGAGAUGACUGAUUUCCACUCCCACUGAGCAGCACUGUUAUCAUUAGGGCUCGUGCUUCCUAAGCCUGUCUGUCCUAGAGCUGCAUACCAACAUCCGUGCCCGUGGGACAUCUGAACAGUGAACUUGCUGCCAGGGUCCCCAUUCCACGACAGUCAGCAGAGAUAUCUCUGAGAAAGCUGAGAGUAUGGUCUAACUGAGUCUAACUGUGGGCCUCAUGCUUGUGCUGUUUUGUUUUCUUUAAUUUUCUCCUCCUCAAUCCAUUCUUUUUUUUUUGCUGAAGAAUGCUCUGGCACAUGAUACUGAUAAGAAAGCUUUCCCUACUUUAUGCUGUUUGCUUUGUAUGCCAUUUCUCCCACCCUAACAGGAAAGGGAAUCCCAAUCAUAUUAAGAUUUCUGAAGCACAAACACUGAGGCAUCUUUUAUGGAUUUAAAGUGUUUUUAUUGAAAAAAAAAUUAUCUAAGACUCUCUCAGCACCAAGGAGAUGUUGUACAGAUAGACUUCUUCAGGGCCACAGUGAAAAUCCAAGUCUAGUUCUUAUAAUUCCUGGUUUGUUCAGAAGCUGUCAUAGACAGGAAAGUAUGUGGAAGUGUUCCUUUCCCUAUGUUGUCUAUGAUAUGGACUGAGUAACUAUUAAAGAAAAGCUGGAGGAGUCUUCCUGAUUAAAAAAAUAGUCUGAUAUUUUAAAAGCACUUUAGAUAAUCCCCUGCAGCCCCUUUCCACUCUUAGUUCUUUCACAAUUACGUAUAUAGUUUUUCUGUGUGGGUAUUGGCUAGUGUAUGGUUUCCAUUCCUUCUAAGCCAAAAUUCAGCACAGAUAGCACUAGUAUUACAAGUCCUACCAGAGACUCUAAGCAAAAGAGCUGCAGAAACCUCAUGGCUGAGUUCUUCACUUAAUUUAGGAAUUGCAGCCAUUUCACGUGGAAUGAGCAGUCACUCCAGUUAAUGUCACUGUAGGGUUUAGUGCUAUGAACAUGCAGAGCCAUGCUGCAGACCGCGAUCCACAGAAAUUAGUAGUGAAGUAACGUUAAAAAUAGACUCACUGGAAAAGAGCUCUGUAAUCACAGCUUAGGGAUACUUACACCUCUGAAGAUUAUAUAGUGGUAUUGUACCUCCACAGAAGUUAAGAGGAAUAAGCUUGCAUGGUGAGGGGAAUGCAGUGUACUUGCAUUAAACACAAAAACUAACCUGCCCCAUUAAAGAUGUCAUUACCCACACAAACUUUCCUACAACAGAAUCACUGUAUUAGCCAAGGUAUAAACCUGUUUCACCCAGCUGGUGUUUGAACCAAUAGUAUUGUCAUCUCUCGCAGCUUUCCAGUCACCUAACUUACUUUGGAAUUUUGUUUUUGUGUGUUUCUUAGUUCAAGCCUUUUACAGAGUAACAUAAUGCAGCUGUGGGGCUGUGGCUAACAAGAUGUCUCUCUGCCAGUGUGAACACCGUUGGUAGAAGGCUACAUCAGCUUCAAAAGAGGUUGAAUUUGUGGCCAUGAGCAGUGUGACUUCAAAGUAUGCAUCACAGCACAGGAAGGUUGGAAGUCCUGGAUGGUCCUGUGCGGAGUCAGGAGUUGAAUUCAACUAUCCAUAUAGGUCCCUUCCAGCUUGGGAUAUUCUGUGACACUAUGAUUCCUCUCUCACAAAUGUGGCAUAGCAUAAGUGAAUUUUGUAUUCAAAUGGCUUGAAUGUUUUGCCAGUGUUGAUUCUUCAACCUGAAGUUACCAUAUAAAAGUUGACAGAAGUAUUCUGUGUAUUAAGUAGGUUUUUGAAGACCACCAGAAUCCUUCUUUAUAGGUGGCUUAGGCUAUUAUCUAGGUUUUAUUUUGUGAUUUUGCUUUUGACAGUGCCAAAUGUAUCAUUUGCAAGUACUGGAUUUUUACAGCAGAGGUCAAUUUAAUAGCUGUCCUUGUAAUAUGCCUGUAAUAUCCUUGCUUUCAAAGGCUCUGUCAGGUCUGCACUGAUGUUUUGAGUGAAAACUGUUGCUGGAUGAAGUACUUCAAAAUGCUUGGAAAGCCUGGUUUAAAGACAUCAGAAUCAUAGAACCAUAGAAUCAUGAAGGUUGGAAAAUACCUCCAAGAUUCAUCAACCUA